rnacentral:lncRNA from 1 species
GCUCCAGCGCCAUCCAUUUUCAAGGCUAGAUGAUUCGGCAGGUGAGUUGUUACACACUCCUUAGCGGAUUGCGACUUCCAUGGCCACCAUCCUGCUGUCUAUAUCAACCAACACCUUUUCUGGGGUCUGAUGAGCAUCGGCCUCGGGCGCCUUAACCCAGCAUUCGGUUCAUCCCGCAGCGCCGGUUCUGCUUACCAAAAGUGGCCCACUAGGCACUCACAUUCCAUGCCCGGCUCCAUGCCAGUGAGCCAGGCUUCUUACCCAUUUAAAAUUUGAGACUAGGUUGAGAUCGUUUCAGCCCCAAGACCUCUAAUCAUUCGCUUUACCGGAUAAAACUGCGUGGGUUCGUGUGCGAGAGCGCCAGCUAUCCUGAGGGAAACUUCGGAGGGAACCAGCUACUAGAUGGUUCGAUUAGUCUUUCGCCCCUAUACCCAGGUCGGAUGACUGAUUUGCACAUCAGGACCGCUACAGACCUCCACCAGAGUUUCCUCUGGCUUUGCCCGGACCAGGCAUAGUUCAUCAUCUUUCGGGUCCUAACACGUGCGCUCAUGCUCCACCUCCCCGGCGCGUCGGGUGAGAUGGGCCGGUGUGCGCCCUCAGCGGACUGGAGAGGCCUCGGGAUCCCACCUCGGCCAUCGAGCAGCGCCAGCCUUCACCUUCAUUGUGCCACAAUGGCUUUUGUGCGAGCCCCUGACUCGCGCACGUGUUAGACUCCUUGGUCCAUGUUUCAAGAUGGGUCGGGUGGGUGGCCGACAUCGCUGCUGACCCUGUGCGCUCACUUCGCUGUGCUUUGGUCACAGCGUGGUGCCUGGAAACCCCCCAGGCCCGACGGCGUGACCCGCCCGGGGCCUACUGGGGACAGUCUGCCCCGCCCCCCCCCCCGCGGCGGGGAUUCGGCGCUGGGCUCUUCCCUGUUCACUCGCCAUUACUGAGAGAAUCCUGGUUAGUUUCUUUUCCUCCACUGACUAAUAUGCUUAAAUUCAGCGGGUCGCCACGUCUGAUCUGAGGUAGCAUCUCGGAGGGCGCCAGGGGCUCGAGGGGCGCGAGGCCAGAAGAGGGCAAGGAGAG